rnacentral:misc_RNA from 1 species
GGGGGGGUUUUUAUUUGCAAAAUUAGAGUCUUGAUAUAUCAAUUUGUUAUUAUUCUAAGCAUUUGUGCUCGUCUUAUUCCACACAGCAACUCUCGUCAAAACAAAAAUGCAAAAAAAACUGUCCCCCUCACGAAGGGAAGAGGUAAAUAUGUCCCUUCACACACUGAUUACUUACACAAUGUCCUCACACACUUCAGCCCUAUACCCGGGCUUUCUUAUCAUUUUAAGAAAUAAGAGAGAGUCAUGUAGCGGUACCCGUGCGUUUUACCCCAUUAGUAUCCAUGAAGGC